rnacentral:rRNA from 1 species
AUACGGAGGGUGCGAGCGUUACUCGGAGUCACUGGGCGUAAAGCGUCCGUAGGCGGUCGGGUAAGUCGGGUGUGAAAGCCCCGGGCUCAACCUGGGAAGUGCACCCGAUACUGCUCGACUCGAGUGCGGGAGAGGAUGGCGGAAUUCCCGGUGUAGCGGUGAAAUGCGUAGAGAUCGGGAGGAACACCAGUGGCGAAGGCGGCCAGCUGGCCCGCAACUGACGCUGAGGGACGAAAGCGUGGGGAGCAAACAGGAUUAGAAACCCCAGUAGUCC